rnacentral:rRNA from 1 species
AUUGAACGCUGGCGGAAUGCUUUACACAUGCAAGUCGAAUGGUAGAGGGGGCAACCCCUCGAGAGUGGCGAACGGGUGAGUAAUAUAUCGGAACGUGCCCAGUCGUGGGGGAUAACGUAGCGAAAGUUACGCUAAUACCGCAUACGAUCUAAGGAUGAAAGCGGGGGGUCGCAAGACCUCGCGCGAUUGGAGCGGCCGAUAUCAGAUUAGGUAGUUGGUGGGGUAAAGGCUCACCAAGCCAACGAUCUGUAGCUGGUCUGAGAGGACGACCAGCCACACUGGAACUGAGACACGGUCCAGACUCCUACGGGAGGCAGCAGUGGGGAAUUUUGGACAAUGGACGCAAGUCUGAUCCAGCCAUUCCGCGUGCAGGAUGAAGGCCCUCGGGUUGUAAACUGCUUUUGUACGGAACGAAAAGGUCUCUCUUAAUACGGGGGACUCAUGACGUUACUCGCAGAAUAAGCACCGGCUAACUCUGUGCCAGCCGCCGCGGUAA